UAGAGCGUAGUGUAUCAGGUUGCACAAAGAAAUUUGAAUUCUUCAGUAUAGGUUCAAAUCCUAUAGUUCUAG
rnacentral:tRNA from 1 species